rnacentral:rRNA from 1 species
AGCAGCCGCGGUAAUUCCAGCUCCAAUAGCGUAUAUUAAAGUUGUUGCAGUUAAAAAGCUCGUAGUUGAAUUUCGGGAUCAAUAUGUUGGUCGUGCCUCGGUACGUACUGGCAUUAUUGGUUUCUACCUUCUGAAGAACCUCGAUGUCAUUAAUUUGGUGUCUUGGGGAAUCAGGACUGUUACUUUGAAAAAAUUAGAGUGUUUAAAGCAGGCUCACGCUUGAAUACAUUAGCAUGGAAUAAUGAAAUAGGACGUUUGAUUCUAUUUUGUUGGUUUCUAGGAUCGACGUAAUGAUUAAUAGGGAUAGUUGGGGGCAUUAGUAUUCAAUUGUCAGAGGUGAAAUUCUUGGAUUUAUUGAAGACUAACUACUGCGAAAGCAUUUGCCAAGGAUGUUUUCAUUAAUCAAGAACGAAAGUUAGGGGAUCGAAGACGAUCAGAUACCGUCGUAGUCUUAACCAUAAACUAUGCCGACUAGGGAUCGGAUGAUGUUAAUUUUUUAAUGACUCAUUCGGCGCCUUACG